ACUUCCGAAGGCACACCCUCCGUCUUCCUCCUCCUACCCCUGACAUGACUGUGAUCACCUCUGUCAUCUCUGGAUGCCUCACUGGCUGGCAUGCAGGUGAUUAACCUCCCUGACCGCUAGAGGGCGAGCUUAAUGUCAAGCGCUGGUGCGAGCCUGCUGACUACACAAAGCUGGAUGCUUCUUGCUGAGACAACCAGGACACUCUUAGUAACUACGGGAGACAGCGGGUGUAACCAGGGGUGUUGGGGUCGGUUCCGUGCGGCCAGCUCCCUCCUGCAGAGCGGACAGGGCAGGGCAGCACAGCCUGCACGCGGGAAUCCUUUCACCCCAGCGCUGAUUACAGCGCACCCCUCCGGGGUCGGGACGAGGCCCGGCAAACAGCUGCGAGCGGCGCCUUCGGGAGCAGAGUUCCAGAAGCUUCAGCGAGUCACAUCUGCACAGUGUUUUUCCAGCCAGUCCUUCCCCACGACUGCAAUCCCCUGUCACCGUGAUUCCUCAAAUUAAACUUUGUACAAAGGCGUGGUUUCUUUCUCCUGGCGGGUACAGAUAUCUGAGCCCUGAAUAAACCACAGGUUUGUCUAACUUGUGUAAACGCA
rnacentral:lncRNA from 1 species